GAUUAUGUGAGGUCAUAGUGCAAAAUAUGAACACUGGCAAUUUCUUAUGGGCCACCAUAAUGAUGUCUAAAAGUGUUAUUAGGCCAGGGCUGGGCGCUGUGGCUCAAGCCUGUAAUCCCAGCACUUUGGGAGGCCAAGGCAGGCGGAUCACAAGGUCAGGAGAUCAAGACCAUUCCGGCUAACAUGGUGAAACCCUGUCUCUACUAAAAAUACAAAAAAAAUUAGCCGGGCGAGUGCCAUGUGCCUGUGAUCCCAGCUACUCAGGAGGCUGAGGCAGGAGAAUGGCAUGAACCUGGGAGGCAGAGGUUGCAGUGAGCCGAGAUCGCGCCACUGCCCUCCAGCCUGGGUGACAGAGCGAGACUCCGUCUCAAAGAAAAAAAAGUGUUAUUAUAAUCCCAGCAUUUUGGGCGGAACACUUAAGGCCAGCCUGGCCAACAUGGAAAAACCCCAUCUCUACUAAAAAUACAUUUAAAAAGUAGCCAGGUAUGGUGUGCACGCCUGUCAUCUCAGCUCCUUGGAAGGAUGAGACACAAGAAUUGCUUGAACUCUGAAGGCAAAGGUUGCAGUGAGCCAAAAUCAUGCUACUGCACUCCAGCCUGGGCAACAGAGUGAGACCCUGUGAUAUGCUUUGGCUGUGUCCCCACCCAAAUCUCAUCUUGAAUGGUAGCUCCCAUAAUCCCCAUGUGUCAUGGGAGGGACCCGGUGGGAGGGAAUUGAAUCAUGGGGGUGGGAUACUCCUGUGAUGUUCUAGUGGGAGUGACUAAGUCUCACGAGAUCUGAUGGGUUUAUUUUAUUUUAUUUUUUUAGAUGGAGUCUUACUCUGUCACCCCCCAGGCUGGAGUACAGUGGCACGAUCUCAGCUCACUGCAAGCUCCACCUCCCAGGUUCACGCCAUUUUCCUGCCUAGCCUCCCGAGUAGCUGGGACUACAGGCGCCCGCCACCACGCCCGGCUAAUUUUUUGUAUUUUUAGUCGAGGCGGGGUUUCACCGUGUUAGCCAGGAUGGUCUCGAUCUCCUGACCUCGUGAUCUGCCCGCCUCGGCCUCCCAAAGUGCUGGGAUUACAGGUGUGAGCCACUGCUCCCGGCCGAGAUCUGAUGGUUUUAUAAAGGGCGGUUCCCUGCACAUGCUCUCUUGCUGCCGCCAUGUAAGAUGUGACUUUGCUCCUCCUUCACCUUCACCAUGAUUGUGAGGCCUCCCCAGCCAUGUGGAACUCUGAGUCAAUUAAACCUCUUUUCGUUAUAAAUUACCCAGUCUUGGGUAUGUCUUUAUUAGCAGCGUGAGAUCAGACUAAUACAAUCUGUCUCAAAAGAAGAAAAAAAAUUCUAUUUAGUGUUAAUUUUUUUCUCUUGACACUGACGGUUGUUGUUGAUGUUUUUUCAGCAACACAUAUGUAUUGCUGGUCAAAUGGAAAAAGAAUAAAACGUAAAACCAGUUGCCAGGAUGACAGCUGCUCUUCUCUUUAGCAAAGCUCUGCUCCAGAUGCCCAGCAGUGUUGCCCUGGGACCCAGCUCUCCUGGGUCCCUUUCCUGGGUCCUGGGCUCUGUCACUCUCUCUCCUCCCUCCAGCCUUGUCCUGGGCAGGUUCCCAGCAGCACAUUCCCAGGCGGGUCAGGGGCCCUUCUGGGCUCCCCUCCCAGAGACACUCCUCUCAUCAAGACACAGGUGCAGUUUGCCACCCUCUCCCUUCCGGCCCCUGGAGUCACUAUUUUCAAAUCUGCCAUUUUCCCUCUGAACAGGGUACAUACAGUCUCAAACAGGUGGAUUUUACAACCAAGCGGGAGGAUUUUGCCCACAGGAAGACCUUGGAGGUGGCUGCCAUCCAGAUGGCUCGGGCAGCCCAGCUGACCUGCUGCAGAGGCCUUCCUGGAGGGUCUCGGGCAUCGGGGUGUCCACACUGCAUCCUGGACAAGAGUGAGCCUCCGUCUCUGGGAGACACGCUGAGUGGGAGCCACACGUGUACCCUGGAGGAAGGCCUUCUGUGUUACUCAGCUCUCACAUUGCUGUAAAGAAAGACCUGGCCAGGCGCAGUGGCUCAUGCCUGUAAUCCCAGCACUUUGGGAGGCCGAGGUGGGUGAAUCACAAGGUCAGGAGUUUGAGACCAGCCUGACUGACAUGGUGAAACCCUGUCUCUACUAAAAAUACAAAAAUUAGCCGGGCAUGGUGGUGCGCACCUGUAGUCCCAGCUACUCAGGAGGCUGAGGCAGGAGAAUUGCUUGAAUCUGGGAGGUGGAGGUUGCAGUGAGCCGAGAUUGCGCCGCCACACUCCAGCCUGAGUGACAGAGUGAGACUCUGUCUCCACAAAAAAAAAAAAAAAAAGACAGACCUGAGGCUGGGUAACAUAUAAAGAAAAGAGGUUUGCAAUAUGGUUUGGCUCUGUGUCCCCACCCAAAUCUCAUCUGAAUUGUAAUUCCCAUCUGUUGAGGGCGGGACCUGGUGGGAGGCGAUUAGAUCAUGGAGGCAGUUUCUGCCAUGCUGUUCUUCUGAUAGUGACUGAGUUCUCACAAGAUCUGAUGGGUUUUUUUGUUUGAUUUUUUUUUAGACAGAGUCUGGCUCUGUCGCCCAGGCUGGUGUGCAGUGGCACAAUCUCUGCUCACUGCAACCUCCACCUCCUGGGUUCAAGCAAUUCUCCUGCCUCAGCCUCCCAAUUAGCUGGGAUUAUAGGUGCCCACCACAUCUGGCUAAUUUUUCUAUUUUUAGCAGAGACGGGAAUUCAUCAUGUUGGCCAGGCUGGUCUGAAACUCCUGACCUCAGGUGAUCCGCCAGCCUCAGCCUCCCAGAGUGCUGGGAUUACAGGCAUGAGCCAUUGCAACCAGCCAAGAUCUGAUGGUUUCAAGCCAGGCGUGGUGGCUCACGCCUGUAAUCCCAGCACUCUGGCAGGCCAAGGCGGGUGGUCACCUGAGGUCAGGAAUUCAAGACUAGCCUGGCCAACAUGAUGAAACCCCGUCUCUGCUAAAAAUACAAAAAUUAGCUGGGCAUGGUGGCGGGCGCCUGUAAUUCCAGCUACUCGG
rnacentral:lncRNA from 10 species